rnacentral:rRNA from 1 species
GACGAACGCUGGCGGCGUGCUUAACACAUGCAAGUCGAACGGUGAAGCGCCUUCCUUUUUGGUGGGUGUGGAUGAGUGGCGGACGGGUGAGUAACACGUGAGUAACCUGCCCCCUUCUUCUGGAUAACAGCAUGAAAGAUUGGCUAAUACGGGAUAUUCUGGGUCUGUCGCAUGAUGGGUCUGGGCAAGAUAUUGUUUCGGUGGGGGAUGGGCUCGCGGUCUAUCAGGUUGUGGGGGGGGUGAUGGCCUACCAAGGCUGUGAGGGGUAGGCGGCCUGGGAGGGUGGACGGCACUGCUGGUACUGCGACGCCGCCCAGACUACGACGGGCGGCAGUGGGGGGGAAUAGAGAACAGUGGGAGCAAGCCUGCAGCCGCGACGCGGCGGGAGUGAUGGCGGCCUUGGUGUUGUGAACCUCUUUCGCGAGUGAAGCAGGCCUGCCUCGUUUGUGGGUGGGUUGACGGUAGCUGGAUAAGAAGCGCCGGCUAACUACGUG